rnacentral:lncRNA from 1 species
GCUUCCUAUAGGAAAACCAGCGCCAACCUCUACUUAAGGUUAUAUCAUCUAAUGUGUAUUUAUAAAGAGAAAUAGUAGCAUUACUUUUUUUUUUAAAUCUCUCUAUGUAGUCCUGCUCUGGAACUUGCUAUGUAGACUAGGCUGGCUGUGAACUCACAUAGAUCUAUCUACCUGUCUCUGCAUUCCCUGUGAUGGGAUAAAAAGUGUAUGCCUCUAUUAUUUCCACAACUGGAGAAGACCACCGACCAGAUCAUCAGGGCCAAAUUAAUUAAAGCAAGCUUUUAAAAAUUCCUGCCCACGGGAUGUCUCUCCCCAAAGCUAUUUAUCUUCAAAAUUAUUGUAGUCCCUGAGCAGUGCACUACAAAAGCCACUGGCCCACGAAAGCCCUCAAAGCAGCAGCAGGAACCCACGUCCAAGAUGGCGGCUCCUGUCAAAAUGGCGGCACCACAUCAGCCUGCAGUCCUCACAGGAGUAUAGGAGCUGCACACCACGGUGCACCACCUUUCCCUCCUCAGCAAGAGCGGCCCCUCAGGAGCUGUCCACAGUGGUGACACCCUCUUUCCGGCCUCAGCCUACAGCUUUCUGGAUACAUCACUCCAGGAGCCAGCCCGCAGGGGCUGUCCACAGUGGCAGCACCUCCUCCACAGCCUCCCCACCUCCCCACAGCAGCCUCACAGAGAUGACGCCUCAGCAAGAGCUGCAGGGAAGGAUUCUUACACCAACCCCUGGGUCAUCUGCAGGGAAAAGGGGGUUAAAACAUAACAUAACAUAACAAAAGCCAAAAAGCCACCAAUCCCUGAGCUCCCUCAAGCUCAGGACUUGAAAUCUCUGCCCUGAGAAGCUCUGCCCCCUCAGAAAUCCUAUCUAUGCACUGUCUCUUUGUCCAAAUUCCCUUUUGUCCACUCCUGGAAGCAGAUGGCAGCCAUCCCUGGAUUUGUCCCUCCAUAUCCUGGGCCCUCCAAUAAAUCUUUCCUGAGAUUU